UUAGGUUUGGGUUGCUCUUGGAUUUAAUCCUUUUGGAAUGUCUUGAGGGUCAGGAGCAUUGCCAUUGAUGGCUAUGGGAGUUGUCAGGCUGUGGCUCUCUUUCUCACAGAGAAUGCCAGAGGCACCCGGGAAGGCAUUUGCCAGGGCUCUGACAGAUGUAAAGUAAGCCUUAUCCAUGUUGUGUUUUCACCUGGACACCUGGAAGGUGUUCAGUAUAGAAAAGUCACGAGCUAGAUGAGAUACCAGCUUGAUGUCGACUCCCUCCCCAACAAUGGCUGCCUGUCUUCGUCUUGAUGCCUGCCAGCAGGUCAUUUCUAAGAGAAGAAGCAUUAGUAGAUCAAGAAAGGGCUAUAGAACCAAGGAAGAAGGAUGGGGAGAACAGGAGGAGAAGUGAAGGGAAGGACAGAGAAACUUGGAGAAUAAUAAACAACAGCAGAAGACAUCCUGGAGACCAAGACGAUAAAUGGUGUUAAGAAAAGAGGAACUGUCUACCAGGAAAGCACUUAGAACCUGGCUCACCUGAUUUUGCCGAUGAGUCAACUUCGAAGUGUGCCUCAUUCUGGAAAGUGAAUCAUGUAAUCACAAUGGAGUCUCACUCUUGUUGCCCAGGCUGGAGUGCAAUGGUGUGAUCUUGGCUCACUGCAACCUCCACCUCCCAGGUUCAAGCAGUUCUCAUGCCUCACCCUCCCAAAUAGCUGGGAUUACAGGUACCUCGGAUUAUCCUGACACGUCCUUCGACUUCUGAGGAUACUGACCCAGUAUUUCAAGACUGAGGUGACUCUGAGACAGAAGAUGGAGCCAGUGGCGAUGUCCUCCCUUAUUCAGACUCUUUGAAUAAUGCUUUUUACUCACCCUGCGGACUCUGCUAGAAAGACACUUUAAUAUUUUUGCCAUUUAUAUUUUUCUGUUAUUGAAAAAUAAUAGAAACCAGUGCCUUAGUCGGUUUAACAGUUGAACAAAGUUGUUUUCAAAAGAAGAAAGAAAAUGUAACUCCAUUUAGUUUGUCUUUCAUUUGCAAAUACUAACUGAAACUUGAGUUAGGGAUUGAAUAACUUGGAAACAGUAUUAAUAAAAUGAAGUCAUUGGCAUAUUAAAAAUGUCCUAGUGUUCACUUUAAGUGUAUUUUAAAAAACCUCACAGGCAAUGGUGUGAAAGGAACCAAGGAGAUGUUUACAUUCAUUAGUUCCACUGGAAAAAAAUGGUUAAUGUAAUUGUAUAGAUUUUUCCCUUCUUGUUUUGUGUACUGUAUAACCCAUUCUUUGCUUUAUGUACAAAUACCCUGGUUUCUAAAUGCUACUUAUUUUCUGCAGAAAUAAAGU